rnacentral:rRNA from 1 species
GACGAACGCUGGCGGCGUGCUUAACACAUGCAAGUCGAGCGGAAAGGCCACUUCGGUGGUACUCGAGCGGCGAACGGGUGAGUAACACGUGAGUAAUCUGCCCUUGGCUUUGGGAUAGCCACCGGAAACGGUGAUUAAUACCGGAUAUGACCACUUCACGCAUGUGAUGGUGGUGGAAAGUUUUUCGGCCAGGGAUGUGCUGGCGGCCUAUCAGCUUGAUGGUGAGGUAAUGGCUCACCAUGGCUUCGACGGGUAGCCGGCCUGAGAGGGUGACCGGUCACACUGGGACUGAGACACGGCCCAGACUCCUACGGGAGGCAGCAGUGGGGAAUAUUGGACAAUGGGCGGAAGCCUGAUCCAGCAACGCCGCGUGAGGGAUGACGGCCUUCGGGUUGUAAACCUCUUUCGCCUAUGACGAAGCGCAAGUGACGGUAAUAGGUAAAGAAGCACCGGCCAACUACGUGCCAGCCGCCGCUGUAAGAC